UGCGAGAGACCCUUCUCAUUUUCAAUUUUUCUCCACCCCAUUUAAUCCAAAAAAAUUUCAUCUCAUACUUUGAGAUGUGCACCAGAGGAUGGAGGGUGAUUAGGGCUACCACACAUAUCAAAAUCCCAUGCCAGAAGGAUUCCUCCUUCUGCUCACAUCGACAUGCGCAUGCAAAUCCUUUUUUCCACCAAGCGUCCUCCACAAUUUGGACUCUUCAUAC
rnacentral:lncRNA from 1 species